UACGAAGGUCCCAAGCGUUAUCCGGAUUCAUUGGGUUUAAAGGGUGCGUAGGCGGAAUAAUAAGUCAGUGGUGAAAUCUUGCAGCUUAACUGUAAAACUGCCAUUGAUACUGUUGUUCUUGAGUACAAAUGAUGUGGGCGGAAUGUGCCAUGUAGUGGUGAAAUACUUAGAUAUGGCACAGAACACCGAUUGCGAAGGCAGCUCACAAAACUGUAACUGACGCUGAGGCACGAAAGCGUGGGGAUCAAACAGG
rnacentral:rRNA from 1 species